ensembl:lincRNA
UAUAUAUAUAUAUAUAUAUACACACAAUUAUUGAAUAACAUAAUGGUAUGGUACUCGGAGGAUACCCAAUCUUGGAGCAAAAGUGCCUGUACUGAGAUCUUCGUCAGAAACGUCGAAUACUGCAUGUCAUUCGUAACCUUGACUGUAUUUUGCAGCUCUGUCGUGUCGCUUGUUUCUCAAAGAACAAUAUGCUGUUCCUUGAAUAGAUAUUCUGUGCAGUCUUGUGAAGAACUUGAUGCGAGCCAACUCUUGUUUUUUUUUUCAGUGGGUUUUUUGUGGGGUUUUUUCUCCUUCCUUUGAUCCAAUAUGGCUGCCAUGGCUGCCAUGGCUGCUAGACCGCGUGACACCUGAUGGUCCUUUUUAUGAAAAUCCUCUUCAAAUUUCAAGUCAAUCAGAUGAAAAUUGACUUUUAUUGAUUUUUGCCUCUGCUGACCUCAAAAGUAUGUGUGUGGUGUGUGUGUUUUAGAAUGUGGAAUGGAAACCUCACAGGGUGGGCUCUAAGUAUCCACCUGCAUUACCUCCUCCACCGAAGGCCAAACGGUGAAGCAAUGGCCCCACCCGAGGGCACAAGCUGUGAUUUUGUGGCCUGGCUGUGUGAGCAAGAUGUGGACAAUGAAACCGCUUCGAUGGUCAUCAACGAUCUUGGCAUCAACAGCUUUGAGCUUCUGCGCUCCAGCACAGAGACCCCACAGCUCCGUGCGGAGUUUUUCGCACUCAUCAAGGGGCGGCUACCUUUCGCGCGUUACGCCAUGAUGCGCCGUGUCGUUGAGGUGCACGGGGUCAGCCUGAACGAACCUCUACUCUCGACUCCGAUGGCAGAACUAUCCGACGAUCAAAGCAGACAGCAGGCACUCAAUGCUGUUAUUCCUGAGGUUUUGAUAAAUUACUUGGAAAGGGCGUCAAAGGAGAUGCAUAAUUGCUCGAGACUGCUCAAGGAAUAUCAUGGGAUUGUUGAUCAAUCUUCGGCACCAAAUGUGUCAGGCAUGACUAAUGGGACCGCGAAACCCUUGAUCAGAUCAAAAUAUCCAAGAGUUAUGUUGAAGCGACUGCGCAUUCCUAAAGCUGAAUGCUUUGAGGAAGACCAUGCUCCCAAGCGUUAUGAAGUAAAUGCUGCCCCAACAGCCCAAGAGGAAAUCAAAAAUGGUGAUUGAAGCAAGAAUUGACAAUUGUGUGGUGGAUAGGAGAAUUUGUUUGGGUUUGGUGCACUUUGUUGUUUCUUCUUCUUUUAUGUACAGGUGGGAUUAUGAAUGAUUUUAAAACUUCAAGAUCACUGCUGAAACGAUCUUUAUUUUUUUUUUUUAUUGAGUAAUUUGCAUCCUGAGACUCAAAAGCAUAUGAAAUGUUCCUUUGUUAGUCAUCAUGUUCCCUUUUUCAUGCAGUUAUUGGUUAGAACUGUUUUUAUUUUUUCUUUAAUUGUAUUAUGAAAACUUUUUUUUGGCAAAAGUUUGUAGCAUGAUGGCAUUAUCAUUUCUCUUUUGCACAACACACACCACACACACACACACACACACACACACACACAACACACACACACACACACGCUUGGCCAAUAUUGGGAAUCGGCUGAUUGGAGUCGGGGUGAUUACCGACUGCAAUACGUACUGCAUACAACUCGAAAACCUCGAGUGGCUUCACCCUUGUUUUGGGGGAAUUUAAAUCAACAAAUUAAAAAAAUCGUUGCAUUUUCAAUGUUUUAAGGAGAUGUGCAUAAACAUUAAUAUUUAUAAACAUCUGGCAAGCAUCACGUGAUUGGUAGAAAAUAAUUUUUAGCUCUGUAACUUAGAAAACACGUUGUAUAAUAUGGCAAACGGCUUGGAAAUCGGUUGUUGUGAAAUGUAUUUUGCUUUGAAACUCAGAGAAACCACAUAACCUUUCGAAAUCCCAUCAUCAUCAAAAGAUACGGGAUGAAACUUUGCCACCACGGCACCUGUAACUAAGCAUGCAGGCAUGCGCACACACACCCGCGGAGACUCCCUUUACAAAUCCAAAUGUACCCAUAUGUACCACGUUCCUUGUGGCAACUGCCAACUGUACAUCCUGUUUGGGACACGAACUGUACCACUAUAAACUAUAGGGUGCUUGGCAAGCGGCUUAAGCACUCAAGCAAGCACUGAUUAAAUGAAUGGUUGGCUUGGCAAGCGAUAGAAAGCUGAUUGGUAAUGGCACUUACCCGCAAAAACUAAACAUCACCGAUUUCUUGACAUUUUCAGAUUUCACUCCAGAUUUUGAGUUAUUUAAUCCACUUGAUGCGAUCCUCAAAACUCAAAUUAUGUUGAACAGCUUGCUUGGCGAUCGCUUGUUCCCAUCAUGUUGAACUUCUCUCGGAGAUGCCAGAAAUGUCAAAUAUGUUUGAAUUGGAUAAAUGAACGCUUUCUUUUUUAUUUUAUUUUUAGCAGUCGGAACUGCUGCUAAGUUCAAUUCUGGAGCUUAAAUUUUGUAAUCCGGCUUAAUUUAAGAGGUUCUCGAGGUUAUGGCAUGUGCAGAAAUGAAAUAAAGGCACGAACGCUGGCAUCUCUGGGCAUUUAUAAGCAAUGUAAUGUAUCCAGCGAUGCCGUAGAUAUGAUGAUUCAGAAUUGGUUAAUAUGAAUGAGAAAGUGGAAAAACAAACCCCCCCCCCCCCCCCCCCCCCCCCCCCCCCCCCCCC